AUCAAUCAAGCAUUGAAUCAACUCCGAAUGCAACAAAACUUUCUAAUUGUCCUAGGCAUACCAAAAUGGCAUCAAGAAACUCCCAAAAACUAAUUUUCUUGACUCGAUCAUCACAAGAAAAUAAGAAAAAAAAAAUACAAAAAAUGCAACAAACAUGCAAUCAAACAAGUUUUAUUCAUCAUUCCUACUCCUAAACUAUGUAUACCAUUGUGAGACAUUCAAUGGGGC
rnacentral:lncRNA from 1 species